CUAAGUGAGCUACUUUAAAGCAGCUGUUAGAGCUAACCCGUCUCUGUCGCAAAAGAGUGGGACGACUUUUAAGUAGAGGUGAUAAACCUACCGAACUUAUAGAUAGCUGGUUUUUUAAGAAAAGAAUUUUAGUUCAGCCCCAAGCCUUUUAUUAAAUAAAAAAUUUCCUCUGGGCCUGGGAGUUAUUCAAGUAAGGCACAGCUUAUUUGAAACAGGACACAACCUAGAACAUAGGGUAAGCAGUUAAAUUAUCUAGCAAGUGGGCCUAAAAGCAGCCACCUUCUGAAAAGCGUCAAAGCUUAUUAACAAUAAUUUACUUAAUAACCCCAACAACUCCGAACCCGCACGCACUAUUAAAAAACCCCAUAAAAUUAUGGGAGCUAUUAUGCUAGAACGAGUAACAAGAAAAUGACUUUCUCCAAAAUGUAAGCUUCAGCCACAAUAGACAAACUACCGGCAAUCAACGCCUCUGAGCUAACUAUAGCAACAUAACAAGAAAACCCU
rnacentral:rRNA from 1 species